GAUGAACGCUGGCGGCGUGCUUAACACAUGCAAGUCGAACGAUGAACCUCACUUGUGGGGGGAUUAGUGGCGAACGGGUGAGUAACACGUGAGUAACCUGCCCUUGACUCUGGGAUAAGCCUGGGAAACCGGGUCUAGUACUGGAUACGACCUUCUGGCGCAUGCCAUGUUGGUGGAAAGCUUUUGUGGUUUUGGAUGGACUCGCGGCCUAUCAGCUUGUUGGUGGGGUAAUGGCCUACCAAGGCGACGACGGGUAGCCGGCCUGAGAGGGUGACCGGCCACACUGGGACUGAGACACGGCCCAGACUCCUACGGGAGGCAGCAGUGGGGAAUAUUGCACAAUGGGCGCAAGCCUGAUGCAGCGACGCCGCGUGAGGGAUGAAGGCCUUCGGGUUGUAAACCUCUUUCAGUAGGGAAGAAGCCGGUCCUUUGGGGUUGGUGACGGUACCUGCAGAAGAAGCGCCGGCUAACUACGUGCCAGCAGCCGCGGUAAUACGUAGGGCGCAAGCGUUAUCCGGAAUUAUUGGGCGUAAAGAGCUCGUAGGCGGUUUGUCGCGUCUGCCGUGAAAGUCCGGGGCUUAACCCCGGAUCUGCGGUGGGUACGGGCAGACUAGAGUGCAGUAGGGGAAACUGGAAUUCCUGGUGUAGCGGUGAAAUGCGCAGAUAUUUGGAGGAACACCAGUGGCGAAGGCGACGUUCUGGGCUGUAACUGACACUGAGGCGCGAAAGCGUGGGGAGCGAACAGGAUUAGAUACCCUGGUAGUCCACGCCGUAAACGAUGAGUGCUAAGUGUGGAGGGUUUCCGCCCUUUAGUGCUGCAGCUAACGCAUUAAGCACUCCGCCUGGGGAGUACGGUCGCAAGACUGAAACUCAAAGGAAUUGACGGGGGCCCGCACAAGCGGUGGAGCAUGUGGUUUAAUUCGAAGCAACGCGAAGAACCUUACCAGGUCUUGACAUCCCACUGCCCGGUAUAGAGAUAUACCUUUCCCUUCGGGGACAGUAGUGACAGGUGGUGCAUGGUUGUCGUCAGCUCGUGUCGUGAGAUGUUGGGUUAAGUCCCGCAACGAGCGCAACCCUUGAUCUUAGUUGCCAGCAUUAAGUUGGGCACUCUAAGGUGACUGCCGGUGACAAACCGGAGGAAGGUGGGGAUGACGUCAAAUCAUCAUGCCCCUUAUGACCUGGGCUACACACGUGCUACAAUGGAUGGUACAAAGGGCUGCGAGACUGCGAAGUCAAGCGAAUCCCAUAAAACCAUUCUCAGUUCGGAUUGCAGGCUGCAACUCGCCUGCAUGAAGCUGGAAUCGCUAGUAAUCGUGGAUCAGCAUGCCACGGUGAAUACGUUCCCGGGCCUUGUACACACCGCCCGUCACACCACGAGAGUUUGUAACACCCGAAGCCGGUGGGGUAACCGUAAGGAGCCAGCCGUCUAAGGUGGGACAGAUGAUUGGGGUG
rnacentral:rRNA from 1 species